AUUGUUGCGUUACAGCUGAGUUCAGCCCUGACAUGUUAUCAGCCUGUGAUAUUUACUUUCACACUCUUCCCACAUUUUUCACUUUUAUUUGUUACCUGUGGCUACAGGGCAUGUUCACAGGGUGAAGUCUGAACCUGCUGGCUGAAGCAAACAUCCCGACUUUUACAGUGGAAACUCUGCAAUAGACAAGCGCACAUUACAAGCACAGUGCUGACUUUUACACAUUUUUAUUUUGUGCAGCAAAACAUUAGCGUAUGAAAAUAUAUCAUUUAGUUUUUAUUACAAAUGAAUUGAUUAAAGUAAAGCAGACCAAGUGAAAUGCAAAGCAAACAACCUCACUGAGCCAAAUCGUAUUUACAGUCAGGAUACAAAGUAAUACUGUUCACGGUCUCAUCAUAAAGCAUUGUAGCACAUCUCAGAGCUCAGCGGGAAAUCCUUCUGGAAACAGCUGUCUUCUACAGGAUACACCUGGGGAUAGUCUGUGGGAGCAAAGUAAGGUGCGCAUUCUGGGGUGGGGGGGCUCUCCUGCUGGCCUGACCAACAGUGUGGCAAGCUGUAAUAUUCCUGGGGGCCACAGUGCUGAUAGUGGUAUUGCUGUGGGCUGAAGCUUGACUCCAUUCUGGUGGGCGAGUCAUAGCAUGAGGAGGAGGAGGAGGAAGAGAAGGAGUCCUGUGGGGAAUAAGUGUUGGGAUCCACAGGGUUGCAGAAAGUCAGUGACUCCAAUGAGGAGCAAGGGGCCUGAAAGAGAGGAGGACAUCGAAAUUACUUUGGGCAGGACUGCAGGUGUGCCACAUGGUGGUCAUCCAACCAAAGCUAGGCCCAGGGCUCACCAGGAACACUUGGAAAAAUGCAAGAAAAUGAUUUCCUGAAGAAAAUCCGAGGUGAAACUCACCGGACAUGAUGGCUGGGAUGGAGAGAUGAUUCCUGGAGAAGAGCUGAGGGACUCAACAAUGUCCUUUUCUGCCUCAGCAAAAUGGCCAAGAACGAAAUUUCUGCAAAAGUCUCCAAAAAUAGCAACACAAAUGUCUUACAGCAGAGCCAGAGCAUACAGAAUGAUUGUAAUAGAGCUGGGGACAUAUUAGUUUGAGAUUUUCUCCCUCCAUUCCCUCUAUUUAAAACCCCUAGAACUCAAUGAUUUGACAAUGAUUUGAUUGCGCGUUACUUACCAUUUGAAUAUUCAGAGGCAACUCUCUCAAAUCGAUUUUCAGUAAAAUCACUAAGCAUGAACACUGUAUCAAAUCCACUUUAAUCUCAUAUAUUAGUAUUUUACACUUUAACCUCGAAAAAAAUGCACUUUUAUUCAUUUUACCCUCCUUUUGCACUAUCCCAGCAUCAGCCCCCUUCACUUAGCACUGCAGCACCCACGACUGCUUCCGUGCAACCUUAAGAGCGCAUUUCACCUCAAACCUCGCGUUUAGCCUAGUCACGCAUUUUAAAAAGUUUAUUUCAUAAAAAAUACAUUAAAAGUGGCAAAGAGGGAAAGUGGGUGUGGCAAGGGCCAACAGCCCUCGUUGGCAUGGCAGGGCCUCCAGCUCCAUCAGAGUGCUCACACCUGCUGGGAGAACAGGGAGAGAGGCUCAGCAGCUUCACGCACAGUUCUGUCCUUGUCUUGGUUAUAUUUUCAUGAAAAUAAAAAUGCGUUUCAGGAUCAAAGGUUUCCGGUAAAGUGUGCCGUUUAAGAACCGGCCUUUGAAAUGUUUAACUCCCCCAGCAUUAUGAUUUAUGAUCAUUAUGAUCAAAAACGGUUAUUAUUUUAGAUUUUCUAUCAAAUCUGUGUUGAAAUCGAGUAAAUAAAUAAAUAAAUGAAUAAAUAACGAAACUAAAAACAAACAUUGCAGCUCCUUCUUUGCACUGAAGUCCCUUACACUACACUUCGAGUGUAUUUUAUUUCUCAGACUGUUUGUGGUGCGAAGGUCAGAAGAUAAAAUGAACUCAACUAUAUCAACGUUACAUUCAUCACACUUGGAUAAAUGCAUCC
ensembl:lncRNA